UACGGGGGGGGGCAAGCGUUGUUCGGAAUUACUGGGCGUAAAGGGCUCGUAGGCGGCCAACUAAGUCAGACGUGAAAUCCCUCGGCUUAACCGGGGAACUGCGUCUGAUACUGGAUGGCUUGAGUUCGGGAGAGGGAUGCGGAAUUCCAGGUGUAGCGGUGAAAUGCGUAGAUAUCUGGAGGAACACCGGUGGCGAAGGCGGCAUCCUGGACCAACACUGACACUGAGGAGCGAAAGCCAGGGGAGCAAACGGG
rnacentral:rRNA from 1 species